CUACAGUCACACGCCUCCUUCCGUAUUGUGGGCCGGUGCCAUGCUCGGCUAUGAGCUCCAUCGGCUCAGGGUCUGCCACAGGGCAUCUGGGACCUCUGUCAGAAGUCCAUGGCAUCCUUUCCUUGCACGCGAAGCGAAAUGGGCCUUCGUGGGAGCAGGGACUGGCUCCUCAGCGACGGGUUGGCUGGGUCAGCUCUUCGUCCAUGCUGCCAGUAGGACAGCUCCAUCCUCUUUUUCAGUGUCGCUUCCUUGGAAGUCAGAUGGAAGGAGAGUUGCUUUAUGGUACCGCUGUUUGAAGGGGGAGGCAGCGGGAUUGAGCUGUUUUCAGCUCUGUGCAACCACCGAGCGCACCAGCCAAACACGCACCCCGUAAAGAACCACCGCUACUGCCACCACUUCAGUUUCCUCGGCUGCUUGCACUUAAGGAGAAACCAGUUGUGAUAGUGGAAAGGCCUUUUGUCUGUUUAAACUCUGAUGUCCUACCCCACUUCCCUAAUAGAGCAAGUCUUGGUGGCUGGUUUUUAGAAGAAAAAGAGAUGUGCUGGGAGAUGCCAAACCUUCCUACAGUCUCUUACAGCUUUUCUUUCAAUGCUGCCCACUUUCUCUGCUGCCUCCUGCUCUUGUCUGCUCCUACUUUCAGCAUGGUAAAGAAGAAUACUAUCCCUGAUGGAUGGCGGAAUGUAUCACCAGUUGGACAACCAAUACCAGGAACUCGAUUCAUUGCUUUCAAAGUACCUUUGAAAGGGAGCUUCGAAGGAGGUAAUUAGACCUGAUUCCAAGGCAUCAUCAGUGCCACAUCUUUCUCAUGAUUUGCCUAAAAGUAUGGAGUAUAAGAAACUUUUUACUGUUGGACUUGAGGUCCCAGAUGAUCCUACUAUUCUACAAUUCAAAAAAUGGGUCAGAAAGUUCCUUUGGGAAAAUGCAGAAAAUGACAAGCUCAUUGGAGUACACUGUACUAAUGGAAUUAAUAGAACAGGUUACCUUAUAUGUCGAUACCUUAUUGAUGUUGAAGGCUGGGAUCCUGAAACAGCAAUCCAAGCUUUUGGGGAGGCUCGUGGUCACCAUAUGGAUGGUAAUAUAUAUCUGACAGAUCUCAAAACUCAACCAAUGAGAAGCAAUCUGGGAAUGAAUUUGUGGGACGCUGAUGGAGAUACUGUGUCACCAGCAAAUGAUAUAGAUGGACAUAUUGAUAGAUUACCAAAUGAAGAAUUUUCUAGGCCUGGAAAAAGAUUACGAGUUUAUGACAGUGACCACAGUGACUUCCCAGAACAAAUCCGAUUGAGAGAGUUUGAUUUUAUUAAUAAGGGUCCUGGACAUCCGCGCAGACCAUAUCAUGAUCAUGAGUUUCAAGAUGAUUUGCAACCAUUAAUAUCAAUGAGGCAAAGGCAUUUUCCCAGCCACCCAUUUUACAAUGGCUACCAAGAGGAAAUGCAGUGGAAGGAUUUAGAUUUUGCCCCAAGGACAUCAGGCGAGAGGCUAAGACCUUUCCAGGAUCGGCAGCUUUGUGAGGACAUUCCAGAAAGUGCACCAUCAGAAGAGAUCAUUAAUAUGGGGCGUGGACAGAGACAGCGAAAUUUUCCUGCUAUCCUUCCUCACAGCGAUAUGUUAACAGAUUCUCAGGUUAACAGAGGCCAUGGACAAAGGCGAAGACCAUUUUAUGACCAGAAGUCUAAUGAUGAAUUUCAACCACAUAUGCAGUUAAAAGAUCUGGCUUACCUCAACAAGAGACCUGUGCAACAGAUGAGACCAUUUCAAGACUCUCCCACUCAUGAAAAUAUGCAACCCCCCAUGGGAGAUUUUGAGUUUGUUAGUAGGGGACAUGGACAAAGAAUGCUUGAUCACCCGCAUCAUAGUGAGUCACAAAGAGACAUGCCACUAGAAGAUUUUGAUGACAGAGAUUCUGAAUCAAGAUGUAGAUCUUUUCAGGACCAUCAGUCUUACAGUGAUUUCAAUGAGCAGCCUGAAUUGAACGAUUUUCUAAACAGGGUACCUAAACAAAGGAUCAUGGCUUUUAAUGACCAUUUAACCAAUGAUAACGUGCCACAUGAAGGCUAUUUAGAAAGAGGUCAUCCUUUUCUUUCAUGUGAGCACUUCCCAGAAUCCUCCAAAGUUCGCAAAGAUUAUGGCUCUGAUAAUGGCUAUAAUAUAAAUUGCAGGUAAAGUUUCAGUUGUCAUGGCAUACAUAUAAAGCACAUCACUAAUUCACACUUUGAAAUAUAAAUUAAAUAGCAGACCAUUUAUAUUAUUACAUAAGAUAAAUAAACAGUAUUUGCCAUCACUCUUUUUAAAAAUUUAAGACUUUAAGAACCAAUUGCUCAUGAACAUCAUGUAACCCUUGAAACAAAUAAUCUUUGGAAAGUUAGCUAUGAGAAUAACUUUCUUCUGUUUGGGCUAGAGCAAGUAUGACACUUAGUUCUUUCUUAACUGCAGUGAAAAAAUCGGAGGCUAUAGCACUCACAGCUUCUCAAUUCUAGAAUAAAUUAUAUACUCCCAUCUAAAUUAGGGGACACAUUGAAACUUACAACAUUUUCCUGUUUAACAGGAUUUGUAACUAAUAUUAAACUGCAGUUUCAAAUGUUGGUUAAUUGGAGAUCCAGGCAAAUGUGAGUUCCAGCGCAUCCCUGGAGUUACCCUGAAGAGAGGAAAGAUUUGGAGGAAUAUGUGCAUGAUGCAGUGACCCAAGUGACAAUCCAAGUAUCCAUACCUAAAUUGCAUUGCUUUCACUGUGAUUGGUCUCAGGAUUGUAACCUUAAGUUAUUUUCCAUGAUGUUCUCUCACUAUUUUGAAAGUCUAUUGGGAUGAUGUGGGAGCAAAAGCAAUAAAGGAAUGAACUCAACAACUUUAAGAUGCACUGGAAUUUGACACCAAAUGAGCAAAUCAGACUUGAAGCCAACCAUCUUUCAUCCUUAGGAUAAACAAUUGCUUUGUAGAUUCGUACUCUGUUACUACUGUUCUUCAUCGUGAUCUCUGUGCAUCACACAUAUGGAUGCUGCACCUGCACAGUGCCUGUUCAGGAAGGUUCUCUCAGCAUUAAUCAUUUUGGCAGGAAAAACGCCCCCUGCCCCAGUAUAAUAGGCAGAGUUCCAGCCCUCUCGCCAGUCUUCUUUCAACCGCUGUUCGCUGUGCCUCCGGUUUCUCUCACUGCUUCUUCUCACAAAUAUUUUAACUCAAUCUUAAAACUCUUUUAUCCUCGUUCUUGUACUUAAACCCCACUAUCCCCAAAUACCCCUUUCCUGACCAGUUUCAUUUUCCCGCUUAUUCUCCGCACUUCCCCACAGAAAUAUUCCCUUUAAAAAAACCUUUCCUAUCAUCUAAAACUUACCUCCUAAACUCUACUGCUUCCAGUUUUUCUUUUUCUCCUUGAUGGUGUAGUGCUCUGGUUUUAGAAAGUGCACUCAGUGUGUGGCAAAGACACCUUCCAUGGAUACCCACUCGCUCUACUCUGCCUUGGAGAGGGGCCACAAAGCAGACAAAUUUCAGGCUUUUAUGAAGCAGGUGCAUAAAAACCAGGAGAGCCAUCUGAGAAAAGAGGUCUGGGAUAGAGAGAAGCCUCAGUGGGAAAAUCAGCCGCUUUUUUUACUUCUCAGGAAGGCACCCCUGAACACGAAUCCAUACCGACUGAGGGAGUCGCUAAAACCUUGGGAUUGACAAAAACUCCUGGAACAUCUCAAACGCCUAAAAAAUGUAAGGAGAAACGAAAAUACAUUGAAACGAAAGAGGCUUGUUAAGAAAAGCACUCCAAUAAGGAUAAGCCAGAGAAAAAGAAGAAAUACUGUUCCCACACCAAACACCAUUCUUCCUGCUUGGCCGAACAAAUGAAGACAAUGGUAACAACCAUUCCAUCUGUACCGAUGGAAAGCCCUGAACACCUGUCUUUGGCACACCUCUCCCAUUAGACUGUUUCCACAGAUCUGAUUGAUCCCAAGAUCUUCACCAUUCAUUGAGGUCCCUCAUGGAGCCGCCACUUCCAACCUCCAUUUCAGAAGGAAAAAUAAGAGAUUCUCCUGCCUGUUCUUUGACUUCAAGUUGCCUGCACAAGCCCUCUCAGAUUUGGCUACAGGGCCACAAGUUCAACAACCACCAACACUGUGCCCAUAUGAGCUGCCAGCAGUCAAUGUCUUGCCUGCUUCGACCCAACACUCUACAUGCUUUCCAACCAAACAUUCCAAGAUUCAUACUGGAUGAUGCCUCCAUACCCUUACUAUGUUACUAGGUAUGGAUGGGGCUACAUGCCAUGCUACCAAUACCUACUGGUCCCCAGGCCAGAGAGAUGGAUACAUACGAGGCUCCAUCUACCUCUCAAGCUGCUGAAACCAAUCCUCUUCCACAACAUGACUCUCCAGCAUGUUCUUCUUUCUCCAGUGUACCAUACAAAUCUGAUUCAACCAUCAAUACCAAAGAGACCAUCUCAACAUCUCCAGACAACAUCAUUUCAAACCAGGGUCCUGGGUUGUCGGGUGAAAAUCUGGGACAUUUUUCUGAGCAGGCUGUACAUAUGACAACAUCUCUGGGAGUCAGUGUCCAGCAGAACACCACGUCUGACAAGGACUCUAUCUACGACAUCAUACAUACUGAGGAUGCAGUUCCAGUAGCUCUGCCACUUAUAUCCACACUUUGAGAGGCAAUGAUGGAACCAUGUGAAUGGCUAUAUCAACCACAUCCAACAUCACACAGACUUGAAAACAUGAGUGAUGGAGCAGGAUAUACCAUUCCUUCACCACCCUUGACCAAAUUUGAUCAUCACUGAGGCAAUGCAAGGUUGACAAUCUUGUGAUCAUUCCACACUGACUGACUGACUGCGAGGAUCACCAUAUUUAUUAUGCCACAUUUAUUCUGAUGGGCAGCGCAAACUGGCCUUCUUCUGACUUCAGUUUCUCCUCCUCCAUUCCCAUUUGAGCAUCAAUAACAUCAUCUCCCCAUUUGGGAAUCCAUCACAUCUGAUUGGUGGAUUCUGUCCAUCAUAAAUCAUGGAUACCAAAUUGAAUUUGAAACCAUGCUUCCUCUCUGUAGGUUCUGAAAAACAACACGUUCUCUGGUUCUCCUUCAAGAGAUUGAAACACUUUUACAGAAAGGAACAAUCCAGAGAGUAGACCAAUCAGAGAGACAGCAAGGUCUCUAUUCAAAAUAUUUACAGUAUUGAAGAAGGAUGGAGGUCUUCGUCCCAUUUUAGAUUUAUGGGGAGUAAACCAUUAAAGCAAAAAAAUUUAGAAUGACAACACUGCAGAAUAUUUUUCCCUUACUACAGAAAGAGGACUGGUUCACAUUCAUAGAUUUGCAAGACUCUUAUUUUCACAUAGCCAUUCACCCCAGCUGCAGACAUUUCUCCAAUUCCAAGUAGGUACCAAGGCAUUUGAAUUCAAGGUGCUCCCAUUGGGUCUUUCAACAGCACCAAUAAUUUUCACAAAAUGCAUGGCACUAGUUUGUGCCCAUCUUUGACUACAAGGUGUGAAAAUUUUCCCAUACUUGGAUGAUUGGUUAUUAGUUUCAUUUUGUACUCUCUUAGACUGAUUGGUCCAACACAUGAGGUUACGAAUGAGACCACUGCAACUGUGGUACAACCAGACUUAUCAUCCCAAGCAAGAUGAUCCAUAUCAACAGGUCAAAAUUCCUCAUCAAAUUUUGUAAACACUCUACUGGUGGACAACAGAUACCAGUCUAAACCAGCCAUUAAAUCUGAUGGUGACCAUGCAUACCAAUGCAUCCCAGACUGGAUGGGCAGCCCACUGCAGACAACAUCGAAUGCAGGGGAGAUGCACAGAUGCAAGUUGCCAAAAUCUAUAAAUUACUUGGAGCUAUUUGCAGUGUUCAAAGCUCUUCACUUGUUUCAGAACAUUGUAGUGGACCAAUACAUCCAGAUAGCAACAGACAGCAUCUGCACAGUCUUCUAUGUCAACAAACAGGAGGGACAAGAUCAGUUCCACUAACCCAACUAGCAAUGCACCUCUGGAACUGGUGAUUACACCACAAUAUCAACCUCCAAGUAGUACAUGUGGCUGGUGCUGAGAAAGAUGAAGUGGAUUUUCUACGCCACCAUACCAGUUCCACCCACGACUGGGAGCUGAUUAUAGCACUAUAACCGAACUGAGACAUGACAGAACCAAGUCUAUUCUAAUAACUCCAUGGUGACCUCAUCAGACCUGGUUCAUGAUCCUCCUACACCUGUCUCAGGGGACGUUUUAUCACCUACCCAAAAUGCUGGACUUGAUUUCCAGAGAUCAAGGCAAGAUCCUUCAUCCGGAUCUUCAUACCUUCAAACUGACAGCCUGGUUGAUUCAAUCGAAGCCACAGAACAAUUAUUGGAUCCAGAAAUUCAAGCCAUUUUGCAAUCAGCUCUUUGUCGAAAUGGAAGAGGUUUCAGAUAUUCAGCACUAAUCAUAACUUUGUAGCAUCACAUGCUACAAUUCAAAACAUCCUACAGUUUCUUCUGUCCCUACACCAAUCAAGACUAAAACCAACAUCCAUUAAAGUAUAUUUGGCAGCUAUAUUGUAUCACAGAGGACUGAUCAAGGGAUCCUCCAUUUUCUCUCAUCACCUAGUGAACUGCUGCUUAUGAGCUCUACAGAAUCUAAAUCCACCAAACUGAUCACCAGUUCCAACAUGGAGCUUGUCUAUAGUACUGCACGCAUUAACGAAGCCAUCAUUUGAACCCCUUGCAAUGACGGACUUAAGGCUUCUUUCAUGGAAAUCUUCCUUUUUGUUUGCUAUAACAUUGGCCCAAAUGACAAGUGAGCAAUGCUCACUCCAGGUAGAUCCACCCUACCUGAGUUUUCAUAAAGAAAAGGUAGUGCUGCAUAUGUACCCCACAUUUUUACUUAAAGUAGCCACACCAUUUCACCUCGACCAAGACAUUGUCCUACAAUCCUACUUUCCAGCUCCAUCUACACCUAUUGAAAGAUCACGUCACACACUAGCCAUCAAGAGAGUGCUUGCUUUCUAUUGCUCUUGAACAGAACAGUUCAGAAAGACUAACUGUCUCUUUGUCAAAAUACUCCAAUCAUGACAAGGGAACACCAAUAGGAUCCCAACACCUAUCCAAAUAUGUGACCAAAACCAUCAAGCUCACAUAUCUGCUUGGUAAAAUAGAACUUCCAAUCAUCCCAAAAGGACACUCAACUAGGGCUGUCUCCACCUCAACAGCAUUUGCAUGCUGGUAUUGCCCUGCAAGGUCUCUGCAGAGCUGCUAAGUGGGCAUCACCAUGCACUUUCAUAUGGCACUACCGUGGUGACACAAGAGCCAGAAGAGAUUGCUUGUUUGGACAUGCGGUCCUCUUUCCCAUUCUACAAUGAUGACACCCUUCCACAUGGCCUGAUUACCUGGACGAUUACAAGAGAAUUCAUCCUUCAGAUGAAGUUAAC